rnacentral:misc_RNA from 1 species
GAUGAAGAACGCAGCAAAAUGCGAUAAGUAAUGUGAAUUGCAGAAUUCAGUGAAUCAUCGAAUCUUUGGACGCACAUUGCGCCCGCCAGUAUUCUGGCGGGCAUGCCUGUUCGAGCGUCAUUUCAACCCUCAAGCACAGCUUGGUGUUGGGACUCGCGUUAAUUCGCGUUCCCCAAAUUGAUUGGCGGUCACGUCGAGCUUCCAUAGCGUAGUAGUAAAACCCUCGUUACUGGUAAUCGUCGCGGCCACGCCGUUAAACCCCAACUUCUGAAUGUUGACCUCGGAUCAGGUAGGAAUACCCGCUGAACUUAAGCAUAUCAAUAAGCGGAGGA